ACCUACGGGGCGCAGCAGUGGGGAAUAUUGCACAAUGGGGGAAACCCUGAUGCAGCGACGCCGCGUGAGUGAAGAAGUAUUUCGGUAUGUAAAGCUCUAUCAGCAGGAACGAGACAAGACGGUACCUGACUAAGAAGCCCCGGCUAACUACGUGCCAGCAGCCGCGGUAAUACGUAGGAUGCGAGCGUUAUCCGGAUUUAUUGGGUUUAAAGGGUGCGCAGGCGGCCUGUUAAGUCAGCGGUAAAAGCCCGGGGCUCAACCCCGGCGAGCCGUUGAAACUGGCGGGCUGGAGUUGGAGGGAAGUA
rnacentral:rRNA from 1 species